AAUCGAACUUGGAGAUAGCUGGUUCUCUCCGAAAUAGCUUUAGGGCUAGCCUCAAGUGAUGAUUAUUGGAGGUAGAGCACUGUUUGGACGAGGGGCCCCUCUCGGGUUACCGAAUUCAGACAAACUCCGAAUGCCAAAUAAUUUAACUUGGGAGUCAGAAUGUGGGUGAUAAGGUCCAUAUUCGAAAGGGAAACAGCCCAGACCACCAGCUAAGGUCCCAAAAUAUAUGUUAAGUGGAAAAGGAUGUGGCGUUGCCCAGACAACUAGGAUGUUGGCUUAGAAGCAGCCAUCAUUUAAAGAGUGCGUAAUAGCUCACUAGUCGAGUGACACUGCGCCGAAAAUGUACCGGGGCUAAACAUAU
rnacentral:rRNA from 1 species